GAAGAAGGUUUGUUUGCAUGUCUUACCAUGAGGUCAGAAGUUUUGCGAGAAGGAAACUAUCCAGACGUUGGCACUUUGGUGGAACGGUGCAGAAUUGAUUAAGCUGGUUUGCGCGGUGAGUAUUGUCUGUUACAUGUUUUAAGACCUUCGGCGUGAAAUUUGUAUACUAACUACAUAUAUUGUUUGUGCAGGAUGAGUAUAAGUUGAGGAAGCAGUUUUUAUUAUACCUGCUAAAACAACAACUUUCCUGAUAUUGCUAAAGAAUUUCUUAAGCGCAUCAUCUAGAUAUUGAUAAUUUUGUAAUAGAUGUUCAGCUGGAACAUGGACAUGUCAUUAGUCUUUUCUUUUUCUUAUCAAUUUUCAUUGCAAAAUGGACUUCAAUUAUUCAGUAAUUGUGUUUGUGUUAUAUUGUUUGUGCAUGU
rnacentral:lncRNA from 1 species